rnacentral:rRNA from 1 species
UACGUAGGGUGCAAGCGUUAAUCGGAAUUACUGGGCGUAAAGCGUGCGCAGGCGGUAAUGUAAGACAGAUGUGAAAUCCCCGGGCUCAACCUGGGAACUGCAUUUGUGACUGCAUUGCUGGAGUGCGGCAGAGGGGGAUGGAAUUCCGCGUGUAGCAGUGAAAUGCGUAGAUAUGCGGAGGAACACCGAUGGCGAAGGCAAUCCCCUGGGCCUGCACUGACGCUCAUGCACGAAAGCGUGGGGAGCAAAC